GUUUCUUUUGAUGCUGGUUGGCAGACUCGAGGAAGUGGUAGAAACUAUGCCAGUCUUUCAGGUCAUGGAAGUAUGAUAGGCGUGAACACAGGCAAAGUGUUGGCAUAUUCCUUUCGCAGUAAGAAAUGUCGAUUUUGUGACAGAGCGAAA